GGGGACGUAGCUCAACUGGGAGAGCGCUGGCUUUGCAAGCCUGAGGUUGCGAGUUCGAUCCUCGUCGUCUCCA
rnacentral:tRNA from 1 species